rnacentral:rRNA from 1 species
GACGAACGCUGGCGGCGUGCCUAACACAUGCAAGUCGAACGGAGAUUAUUGACGGAAGUUUUCGGAUGGAAGACGGUAAUCUUAGUGGCGGACGGGUGAGUAACGCGUGGGUAACCUGCCCCGUACAGGGGGAUAGCGUCGGGAAACUGACGGUAAGACCGCAUAGGACCACAUAUUCGCAUGGAUAAGUGGUGAAAAGGGAAACCUGGUAUGGGAUGGACCCGCGUCCGAUUAGCCAGUUGGCAGGGUAAAGGCCUACCAAAGCUUCGAUCGGUAGCCGGACUGAGAGGUCGGACGGCCACAUUGGGACUGAGACACGGCCCAGACUCCUACGGGAGGCAGCAGUGGGGGAUAUUGCACAAUGGAGGAAACUCUGAUGCAGCGACGCCGCGUGAGUGAAGAAGUGCUCCGGCAUGUAAAGCUCUUUCAGCAGGGAAGAUGAUGACGGUACCUGAAUAAGAAGCCCCGGCUAACUACGUGCCAGCAGCCGCGGUAAUACGUAGGGGGCAAGCGUUAUCCGGAUUUACUGGGUGUAAAGGGAGCGCAGGCGGUCUGGCAAGUUGAGAGUGGAAGCAGGGGGCUCAACCCCCUGACUGCUCCCAAAACUGUUGGACUGGAGUAUGGGAGAGGCAGGCGGAAUUCCUAGUGUAGCGGUGAAAUGCUCAGAUAUUGGAAGAACACCGGUGGCGAAACCGCCUGCUGGAACCAAACUGACGCUUGGGCUCGCAGCGUGGUGAGCGCACAGGAUUAAUACCCUAGAGUCCAAGGGUGAUUCAUAGUGUUCUCUCGCUACCUAUAUCGUCCACCGGGGGUGAGGGUGAUAAAAAACAAAAAAUUCGUCCCCCUGUGGGGCUCACUAUUUGGACCUACGUGACUAUUUCGCUAUUUGUCUUGAG